UGUUCUGCUGGCCAAGGUCAUCAUCUUUUGACUGACAGUGUAUUGUUAAGUUUCUUCCGUUGCCUAAUCUGUUCAUGAUACUUGUGUGCACCUUGUCUGAAAGUACAAUGUUGCACAAGCAAAAUACUAGGACAAACACUGGAGUAUACCCAAUUCUUCCUGGGGGUUUCAUAUUGUUACUGGAAAUCACCAGUGGCUCAAACGAUUCUGAUUUUGCGAUAAGCUGGGCAGCUGGUAUUGCUUUAUGUUUGCAAAGCAAGCUUGGUGAGUUGGUAUUGCUUUGAUUUCAUACACCAGGCAAUAAUUGGGUAUGAUUACUGACAAAAAUUUCGGUCUUAUCAAGCAACAAUAUAGUUUAUGCUUUUGGAAAAAUCAAGGGACUAGCAGCAUUGUACAGUGUAUUACUUCUUGUUUAUGUAUUUUUUUAUAGUUGAGCGGCAGCGGCAAUGUUCUGACUUCUGGAUUGUAGUUGUUGAAUUCCUUUUGAUAUGGACAAAUCUAUUGCUGCAGUGGAGGAUUCACAAAACCCGAAAAUACUUGGCAGCAAUGUUAGAAUUACAAGAAAAAAAGCUACAGCUAGAGAAACAAAGUUGCUUCGAGAUUUUUGCAUAAAUGAAAAAUACUUUUAUUUUGUUAGAUAAUCACAGCAUAUUGGACAGCAUCAAUCUCAGCAGGUUCGAUUGGAAACUGAAACAAUUGGAGAGGGCCUUAUCUGGCAGAACCCACCUCAAAUUACUUUCUUUAAGUACACAGGUCCAUGAAAUUUGUGCAGUCAUGACCUCCAUUUGGGGAUGGCAAUAGUUUAUAUAUUUGCAUACAGUCAACUGGUACCCCUUUUGGCAAAAAAAAAAAAGGGAAACUGCUAUCCCUUGUUUGGAAGGAAAGAUUUCACCAAAAUUUAAUUCAACCAAUUCAAAUUCUACUAAA